AUUGAACGCUGGCGGCAGGCUUAACACAUGCAAGUCGAACGAGUGGCGGACGGGUGAGUAAUGCUUGGGAAUCUGGCUUAUGGAGGGGGAUAACUACGGGAAACGGUAGCUAAUACCGCGUACCAUAGGAUGAGCCCAGGUGGGAUUAGCUAGUAGGUGGGGUAAAGGCUCACCUAGGCGACGAUCUCUAGCUGGUCUGAGAGGAUGACCAGCCACACUGGGACUGAGACACGGCCCAGACGCCUACGGGAGGCAGCAGUGGGGAAUAUUGCACAAUGGGCGCAAGCCUGAUGCAGCCAUGCCGCGUGUAUGAAGAAGGCCUUCGGGUUGUAAAGUACGUUCAGCGGGGAGGCGUUACCCGCAGAAGAAGCACCGGCUAACUCCGUGCCAGCAGCCGCGGUAAUAC
rnacentral:rRNA from 1 species